GUACCAGUAACAAGCCGCCGCACUUCAGUCGAGCUGAGCAUCGCCCCAGGUAACCCCGGUCGUCUGGAACGAAGCUGCUUUCAACUCCUUAGUUACACGAUCAGCAAGGUCAGCGCAGUACCAACAUGCGGUUCUUCUCCGUAGCCUUCCUUCUUGGACUCCUGGUCGCUUUCCUGGCCUUCUGCAGCACAACAGCGGAGGAAACACACCUGCCGCAUCUGCGAGUCCGUCGAGGUCGCGACUGCCGAUUUACCGACAAAUGCGUCAAGAGCUGCAAGGACAGCGGCCACAGAACAGGGACCUGCAUCGGACCGAGACUUUCAAACUGCAAAUGCCUUGAUUAGACAGCGGCACUUGCCAAGCAACUCUAAUAAAGCCAUAACCUGUCCUUGCUGUGCGAGGCGCCGCCAAUAAAAAAAAAGACAG